GCUGAGCGGUUCGUGUUCGCGUGACCAACCGACCCCACAGCCGGAAGGAGCCGAGACGGGUUUCAGCCAAGAGUGGCUUUGAAACGUUUCCAGUCUGCUUCACGAUCUCCCUGCAUCGGCAACCCCGUUCCUCUCCACCGCCUCCGUCCCCGGGACGCGGGGUUCUUUAGGGCCUGACCUCAAGACCGAGUUUAAAACGGGGUUUAACUGAGCUCGGGUUGCAUCUCUCCUGUUGUAUUUCUUCUUUCGCCCACAGGGAGGCUCUGAGGAGGACGCAGCCCGAUCCCAGCGCAGCCUCUCUCCUCUGAGCAGCCGAGACUGGGAGAGACUGGGAAGGAGGAAGCCUACUGGUGCCGCGGCCGGCGUGGGAUGCUGCUGCCCGAGCCGCCGCGGAAAGGGGAAGAGAAGGCGGCAGAGAUGAGGGCGCUUCUGGGCAGCGUUUACUGCUGCUCCCUGUAGUAAAUGGAAGAAACUUCCUCCUUUCCCCCCACUUUUUCCCUCAAAUCCACCCUCCUGCGCUCUCCUCCAACUUGGCUGGACACGAGUGCCCAGGACAGGCUAGGAGAAGGGGAGGACCCCUUGUUUUCCUGUUGAUGGGGUUGCUGAGAGCUUGAGGGCGGUAAAAAGGGUGGGAGUGGGGGAUUAAAACGAAAAUUCUCUGGGGGUUGUUGGAUUGAGCGCUCCUCCAAGCCUCCCCCCAAGCUCUCUGAACCCCUUGCGUGCUUCCACCUUGCUCCAAGAGUGCUGUAAAAGUUUCAAAACUGUUCUAUUCCCACAGGUCAAGUGAAAAUAGGGGGGAAGGAAAUGCCCUGCAGGCCUUUUGGAGGAGAGGCAACGGCAGGAGCAUCCCGUCGCGUGUGCCAGGACGCGGGGACAUCUUGCAGCCAAGCUCCUGCUCUUCCCCUCCCUAGCUUUUCUGCGGAGCGGGCAGCUCUCAAACACUGUCAGCCUCCUCCACGAUGGGUGCUGAGAAGGGGAACACCUCCUGCAGCAGGGACGGAGUUACCGGGCUGGCGUUGGGAAGGCACUGGAGAGGGACUAAGCGCUGCUGAGGCUGCUCUGAGGGCACGUGUCACCCCUCCCUGUGGCCACCUCUGCUGGGACGCGGUGGUUGGGCCCAGCCCAAAGGGCAGCAGUGGAUGAGUCCCAGCUUUAGGGGAGAGCGGAGCAUCCCCUCUCCUCUCCCUGUGCAAACCCCCUGCCAAUGCUGGCCGUUAAAUCCUCCCUGGGGACGCGGCCCGCAGAGAUGCCUGCAAGCUGGCCGCAACACCCCGGCACUGAACUGAGAGGGGGACGGAGGCCAGCGGGAGCCGCAGGGACCUGAGAGCCGUGGCGAUGCCGAAGGGGAAGCAGCCCUUCUCUUCCGGCCCAGGCGGUGGCUGCUCGACGAGGACAGCAUUUGUCAGCACAAGCACGAGCUUUGCUUGCUGAUCGAGGUGCCCAGACCAGUCUCCGAGGCUGUUGGCUUGGCCUGGGGCACAUCCCUGGCUCUUGCCUCUCCCUGAACAGCAGCCAAGCCCUUUGCCAGAAGAACCCAAAUGCCGUGAGUGAUUUAGCCUUGUUUUCGGGUGAAAAGACUCCUGUAGAUUUGCAUAAUGCUCGCAGGGCUCACGCUACCGGCAGGUAUCUGUGCCGUUGCCAGAUUGUUUGUUCAAGGGAUCUAAUCCUCCCUUGUCAGAGCAGUGUUAGGGCAUACUUCCACGUUCACGCUCCUCAACGCUUUGGAACCAGCUGUGGGCUUUAUUGAUUUAUUUAUUUCUACCACCCACCCCCCGCAAGUCCCCUUCACAGCUGGGCUCCUCCCAGCCCUACCCCAGGGGGAUUGCUGUCCCCAAAUGCCAUGGUGUUGGGAUUUGAAGGCAGCUUUUACCAAUCCUGGUGGUGUCUGGGAGGAAGAUUUGAUCCCAGCAAGGUUGUGUUUCCCGGCAAAUAAUUCAGCUUUGACCCAGGGAGUCCAGAGGGUGCAAAGCACCGGGAGAAACGCUCCUGGCUGGAGGCACCACAGGAAAGACCGAGGCUGUUUCCCGCAGCAGGGACACGUGUAUGGGUGAUGAGAGGCUGGGAGAGGAGAGCACGAGCUUCCAAAUUGGUGGAAGCAGGACAAGAGAGGGAUGGAGGGGUGUGGUGGGAAGCUGGGGAGCAGCGAGGGGACCGAGCUCACCCGUGG